UCUUCUCAAUAUCCUAGCCUAUUCAUUAAUGAUAGGCCCUGCUUUACUGAAGUUGGGAAACACUGCAUGCCAAGAAAUUGCGACAUAAAGAAUAACAUUUCGGGUUAAAGCUUUUUAUUGCCGAUAGAUAGGCCUAGUGCACGGUUCUGAUUGUCUGCCUGGUGGCCGACCUGCCUACACUGUGCCCCUCCACUUUCUCUCCACCCCUUGCUAGCUCGCUAUGAAAGAUGCAAAUGUUUGUUUUCUCAAACGUAGUCUCCUCUAUUCCAAAAAUACUGAAUCUUAGGAGUCAAUUCCUAGCGGAAUCGAAUCUUGACACAGAGAAAUGAGAGUCGACAUCGGGAGUUUACGUGCAAACACUGAUGGAAUAAUUUUGGAGUCAACUCUCCACCACUAUGACAUCGUCGUUAGCAGUUGAAAAAAUGGCAGAAAAAGGCAAGCGACAGCAAUACGAUAUAUGGCAAUACUUUAAUAAGUUAAAUGAAAAGGAAAUGCAAACUUUGCGAGGUGGAAUUGGGGUACACCAUCUGAAAGAUGAAAUCCUGUGACGAGUGAGGUCCGGCUACCCAACAACCUGCCCACUCGACCCAUCACCAUUCCUCACGUUCCUCAUCAACUCAUCCCUAACCACUGGCUGAAUUCUGUUUUCAAAAUAGCCCGAGUUGCUCCCUUCCUCAAGGAACCAACACUCGACUCCUCUCUGAGAAUGAUCUUCUUGACCCUAACCAGUCAGGCUUCAAGACCGAUCAAUCCACUGCCUUCGACAGUCUGAACCAUCAUGUCCUCCUCUCCACCCUCUCAGGGCUGGGCGUCUCAGGCUCUGCACACUCUUGGAUUGCAUCCUACCUGGCAGGCCGCUCCCACCAGGUGACAUGGAGCGAAUCUGUGUCUGCAUCAUGUACUCUUACUACUGGGUUCCCCCAGGGCUCACAUCUCUGAGUCAAUACAUAUUAGAAUCAACUUUGGCAGUGACUACAGAUGUGCGUAUUUCUGGCUAAGUCUCUAAGAGCUUUACACACCUGGAUUAUACAAUAUUUGCACAUUAUUAUUUAAAAAAAUUAUUCAGCUUGGUCAAGUUGGUUGAUGUUCAUUGUUAGACAGACAUUUUCAAGUCUUGCCAUAUAUGUUCAAGCCGAUUUAAGUCAAAAUUGUAACUAGGCCACUCAGGAACUUUCAAUGUUGUCUUGAUAAGCAACUCCAGUGUAUAUUUGGCCUUGUAUUUUAGGUUAUUAUUUCAGCUUUAAAAAUUUUAUUAUCUGUCAAGAUUUCCCAAAAAUAUAUAAAUUGUAUUAUGGGGUAUUGUGUGUAGGCCAGUGACACAAAAUCUCAAUUGAAUCCAUGAUAAAAAUUCAGCAGACGGAGAGAAGAGAGAACGUGCAAUCAAGAGGGAUCAAAAGCAGUUGCUUUGUGAGGUAUUGCUACCUGAACAUUCAUUAUCUAAGUUAUUGAUAGUUUGUAUUCAGCAGUGAUAGCCUUGUUUACUUUGAAGAACUACUAAAAUAGUGAUUUUGUCAGACAGCAUAGGCAGCAGGUCUAUAGAGAUGAGAUUAUGACUUGGAAUUAAAUAAAGUUUAAAAAAAUGAAUAUUUUAUUAAAGUAAAAUAAUGUGUAUAGUAGAUGGUUAAUAAGUGAUAAGCACUAAUGGGUAGUCUCUACCAUCAUGGAAUUGUGUUAAUUGUUUUAUUCUGUUACAGCGUUCAACCCAUAUUAUGCAUAGUGCAUUUAAUGUCUAAUCAAAUCGGAAACAGUAAUUCUUUUUUAAGAAUCGAACCGAACUGGCCUCAAAAAGCACUAAUUACUCAUUACUAGUAGCCACUACCCUAUGGGCCCUGGUUAAAAUGGAAUAGGGAGUCAUUUGGGACACAGUUUAUGUAAACGGUAUGGAAUAAUGCUGUUUUGUGAUGCAGUUAGCCACAUAGCCACUCUGGAGCUUACACACUUAUUGUAAUGUUCACCUGGAAAUGCAUCCUACUUAAUUUAAAGGACUUAGACUAACAUCAUACAUUUGGCAUGGAUCCUCAGAUCCUCAAAAGGUUCUACAACUGCACCAUCGAGAGCAUCCUGACUGGUUGCAUCACUGCCUGGUAUGGCAACUGCUCGGCCUCCGACCUCAAGGCACUACAGAGGGUAGUGUGUAUGGCCCAGUACAAGCUUCCUGCCAUCCAGGACCUCUAUACCAGGCGGUGUCAGCGGAAGGCCCUAAAAAUGGUCAAACACUCCAGCCACCCUAGUCAUAGAGCGUCACCAGACCGCCAAGUCUAGGUCCAAGAGGCUUCUUAACAGCUUCUACCCCCAAGCCAUAAGACUCCUGAACAUCUAAUCAAAUGGCUACCGAGACUAUUUGCAUUGCCCCCCCCCCACCCAUCCCCUCUUUUACGCAGCUCCUACUCUCUGCUAUUAUCUAUGCACAGUCACUUUAAUAACUCGACCUACAUGUACAUAUUACCUCGACUAACCGGUGCCCCCACACAUUGACUCUGUACCCCCUGUAUAUAGUCUCGGUAUUGUUAUUUUACUGCUGCUCUUUAAUUACUUGUUCCUUUUAUUUCUUAUUUGUAUUUUUUAAACUGCAUUGUUGGUUAGUGGCUUGCAAGUAAGCAUUUCACUGUUAGGUCUACAGUUGUUGUAUUCGGCGUAGAAGAAUAUUUUCAAGAUAAAUACACAACGCAGAGGAUGAGAGGACAAGAGUACUAAACUAAAUAUAGUACUAAUGGUCAAUAGGGAAUUGUCAAUGUAAAUAGGAGUUGGGUCUCAGCUCAACAUCUGUUUAGAAUCUGUGGAAUGUCACUCCUGAACUCCGAGCUACGUGUGCUACGUUCUGUGCAUUGAGUCGGGAGCAGCAUACUUGUUAUUUGGCCAUUUGCCAGUCAUACUGCAAGGACUUCUGAUUGGUCAAUCCCAUGCUAGGGUGGGGGGUUAUCAAUGGCAUCCUGUUCCUUCGUUCAGUGGAGAAAAGCUGAGGACAGGGGAGACUGAACAUCUACGUCCCAUCAUAACAUCUAUGAUUUGUGUUUCUCAAAUAAACACAUUUUUCUCCCCCUGA